AAUGUACUCCCUCCGUCCGGAAAUACUUGUCGGGGGAAUGGAUGUAUCUAGACAUAUUUUAGUUUUAGAUACAUACAUUUUUAUCCAUUUCUCCGACAAGUAUUUCCGGACGGAGGGAGUAUAAA
rfam:Triticum aestivum genome assembly, contig: Triticum_aestivum_CS42_TGACv1_scaffold_342577_4DL